rnacentral:rRNA from 1 species
GAAUAAGGAUCGGCUAACUCCGUGCCAGCAGCCGCGGUAAUACGGAGGAUCCGAGCGUUAUCCGGAUUUAUUGGGUUUAAAGGGAGCGUAGAUGGAUGUUUAAGUCAGUUGUGAAAGUUUGCGGCUCAACCGUAAAAUUGCAGUUGAUACUGGAUAUCUUGAGUGCAGUUGAGGCAGGCGGAAUUCGUGGUGUAGCGGUGAAAUGCUUAGAUAUCACGAAGAACUCCGAUUGCGAAGGCAGCCUGCUAAGCUGCAACUGACAUUGAGGCUCGAAAGUGUGGGUAUCAAACAGGAUUAGAUACCCUGGUAGUCCACACGGUAAACGAUGAAUACUCGCUGUUUGCGAUAUACUGCAAGCGGCCAAGCGAAAGCGUUAAGUAUUCCACCUGGGGAGUACGCCGGCAACGGUGAAACUCAAAGGAAUUGACGGGGGCCCGCACAAGCGGAGGAACAUGUGGUUUAAUUCGAUGAUACGCGAGGAACCUUACCCGGGCUUAAAUUGCAGAUGAAUUACGGUGAAAGCCGUAAGCCGCAAGGCAUCUGUGAAGGUGCUGCAUGGUUGUCGUCAGCUCGUGCCGUGAGGUGUCGGCUUAAGUGCCAUAACGAGCGCAACCCUUGUUGUCAGUUACUAACAGGUUCCGCUGAGGACUCUGACAAGACUGCCAUCGUAAGAUGUGAGGAAGGUGGGGAUGACGUCAAAUCAGCACGGCCCUUACGUCCGGGGCUACACACGUGUUACAAUGGGGGGUACAGAGGGCCGCUACCACGCGAGUGGAUGCCAAUCCCCAAAACCUCUCUCAGUUCGGACUGGAGUCUGCAACCCGACUCCACGAAGCUGGAUUCGCUAGUAAUCGCGCAUCAGCCACGGCGCGGUGAAUACGUUCCCGGGCCUUGUACACACCGCCCGUCAAGCCAUGGGAGCCGGGGGUACCUGAAGUGCGUAACCGCGAGGAGCGCCCUAGGGUAAAACUGGUGACUGGGGCUAAGUCGUAACAAG